CUACGGGGGGCAGCAGUGGGGAAUCUUAGACAAUGGGGGAAACCCUGAUCUAGCCAUGCCGCGUGAGCGAUGAAGGCCUUAGGGUUGUAAAGCUCUUUCGUGGGGGAAGAUAAUGACUGUACCCCAAGAAGAAGCCCCGGCUAACUCCGUGCCAGCAGCCGCGGGUAAUACGGAGGGGGCUAGCGUUGUUCGGAAUUACUGGGCGUAAAGCGCACGUAGGCGGACUGGAAAGUCAGGGGUGAAAUCCCGGGGCUCAACCCCGGAACUGCCUUUGAAACUCCCGGUCUUGAGGUCGAGAGAGGUGAGUGGAAUUCCGAGUGUAGAGGUGAAAUUCGUAGAUAUUCGGAGGAACACCAGUGGCGAAGGCGGCUCACUGGCUCGAUACUGACGCUGAGGUGCGAAAGCGUGGGGAGCAAACAGGAUUAGAUACCCUAGUAGUC
rnacentral:rRNA from 1 species